UUUCAUCUCAUUUUAAAAAAAAAAAGCAAACGGAGAGCAAAAGCUCUCCCUCUCUCAGGCCUGUAAUCUGGCCAUGGUUUCCAGCCAAAGGCCGCCGUCGGCCCCGCCGCGCCGGCCACCGUCAAAAAGGUAAAUUUUUUCUCUCCUUUUAUACUUCUAAUUUAUUUAUAUAUAUAAACUGUUUUUUAGAAAGAAAAGUAAGAAAAAAUUAUAGAUAUAUGUAUUUUCGAAGGAAAAAUAAAGAAAAAUAAAUAAAUCUAAACGAAAACAACUUUGAUGUUCUUCAAGAAAAACCUAGAGAAAUUACAAAAGAGAGAGCCCCCUGUUACAGUUCAUAUUCGGCUUAUAUAGCCGAUUCUCCCUUCCUAUUUUUCAUUUGCAUUUUUUUAUUAUUUUGUCUUGGCUGUUGCGUGUUUCUUUUCUUUUGCAGGUGGAGCAGGUGGCUGAACGGUGCAGGCGCCGAUGGGACGUGCGGUGGUGGCGGCAGGUCAAGUGGCCGACCCUAGGUGCGGCGCACAUAGGGUUAGGUUUACUGUUUUGUUUCUGAUUUUGGCUAAUUGGGUUAGUGGGUUGGUAGUUGGGCUUGUAUUUGUUGGGCUUUGGGUGUUGUAAUUGGGCCAUUCAGAUUUGGGUUUAGUCUAGGUGGGUUAAUUUGGGUAAUGGACCUAGUUUGGGUUAGGUCAAAAUGGGCCUGUACAACACACAUAUUUAUAUAUGCUUUUGUUACACUUUAUUAUAACUUGUUAAUGCAUUAUUAAGAGUAUUUGUAAUUGUUUUUAGAUUGAAGUAUAAUUUUUUUUUGUUUAAGUUAAACUCUAAUUCGAAAAUUGUUCUU
rnacentral:lncRNA from 1 species